ensembl:lncRNA
UAUUGAACUUAUCAAAAUAGUGCUACAUGCUUAACUUUCCUGGACAUUAUAUGAUAGAGGCUUGUGUUUAAUGUGUUUUUGUUUGUGAUGAUUAUACCCUAUGAAAUGAUUAAAGAACUGGCUUUUAUAUGAUAAUAUGAAUUUAUAGUCCAACCAAAAUUUCAUUUAACGCACCUUUAAUGCCUUUUCUCGAUGUCGAUGGAGGUAAACGCCAGUGUCAAUGAGCCCUAACAAGCGUUAAAGAUUCUUAACGAUUCAAGAAACCCUUGAUAAGAGGUUGAUUAUCAGGAUGGCAGGCCAGUAUAAGUAGUUGUUUACUACUGGCCUUUGGCUAUUUAUGUGAAAGACAGGUAGAGAGACAGUGUGUCCUACUGUCCUAGAAAGUUUGGAAAAGAGUAAAGUGAAUUUUUGUGUGUAAGUAUUUUCUUUCUUUCUUUCUUUCUUUCUUUCUUUCUUUCUUUCUUUCUUUCUUUCUUUCUUAUUCUUUUCUUGACAGGCAUUUCUGUGCGUGGCUUGUGUGUGAGUGAGUGCUUGUAUAGGAGCCUUCGGGGAGUUGAAGACUCUUGGGUUAAAAUGUAUUUCCAAUCCACCGGGCUUAGAGCAGGAAACAAAAGCGGAAUUGCAGUCACCCAUGAAACAAAACAGACACUUUCUUUCUCUCUCUCCAUUCCCCCACCUUGCUGCUAUUUGUUAGAGACAGUGAGCCAUUGCCUAGCCUGAGAUUAGAGUGCAUUGGUUCAGUAAAUGUAAAUGGUUCUACCGGUCAAUUCAACAAGUGCUGAAAGAAUCAGUCACUGAGAGAUGAUUUGAAUUUUUGACACUUUAGAAGGACACCCCAUUCAUAUGACACAUUUAAAAUUGUAUUCCAGAACCAUUUGCAUUGUUGUCCUUGGAAGCAAAUAACUGAAAAAAAAAACCCAAAACCCAAACUCUAAAACAUUUGUCUAUGUGUCUACCACAAGUUAAGAACAAGCUGGGCAAGCACUCUGAAGAGCUUUAAACAGUACAAGCAAUCAGUAUAGCUAGAAAUGUAGUUAGCAUAUUAAACUACUCUUGUCUGUCUGACAAAAAGUAUGUGUAAAAAUCCCGCACAAGUUAUUAAUCUUUGUAAAUAGUUAAAAAUACAGUUGUGCCUUCAUAAAUGGCUGUAUUUGGAUGGCUAUUGUAGAU